UGCCAGCCGCCGCGGUAAGACGGAGGGUGCAAACGUUGUUCGGAAUCACUGGGCAUAAAGCGCACGUAGGCGGUUCGCUAAGUCGGAUGUGAAAGCCCCCGGCUCAACCGGGGAACUGCAUUUGAUACUGGUGAACUCGAGGACGGUAGGGGUGAGUGGAACUCCAGGUGGAGCGGUGAAAUGCGUAGAUAUCUGGAGGAACACCGGUGGCGAAAGCGGCUCACUGGACCGUAUCUGACGCUGAGGUGCGAAAGCUAGGGUAGCGAACGGGAUUAGAUA
rnacentral:rRNA from 1 species